CCUUACCAACAGCAUGACUCUGUUUUUUCCCCAGUAUUUGCAGGAGGCUACCAGAGAGACAGAAUUGCAAGGUUUUAAAUAUGCUAGUGUCAUGAAGUCACGUGCUGGAUUUUCUACCUGAAACAGAUAGUGCAACUGCCCUGCCAUAGCCAUGUUUGGCCAGUGUAGGAAUUUUGAGAACAGCGAACACUUAAUACUCAGAUGGCAUUUUUGCCACCCUGACAAGGACCAUACUUGCCAUUCCAUUGUGGUUCGCCUUGCCCAGAAGUUUUAAAAUUUUUCUUUCAACCUGCGAUUUCAAGUGUACUACAGUGUCCCCUUCACCUAUACAAGCAUCUGUUGUUUUAAAAGGAAACUGGAAUCUGUAAUAGAACCUAACUGAGAUGUGUUGUGAGACCUGGAAGGAUUCAUCACAGGAGGAUGGAACUGAAUUGGGAGGAGGUGAGACUCAGAGAAUGAAAUGCAGCAGGGACUUGGAGGAGAUGGAUUGGACUCAACGCAGCAUUAUCUAGAAGGUUAGCUGGAAUAAGACUCUGCUUUUGGCUUCAGGUAAACUGGCCUUGGAUGCAGGCUGCAGAUCUGGGCUCAGAUAGAAUUUGAGCAAAUAAUUUGAAGAUGGGUAAAUAGAAGUUUGACUGAAGCUGAU